ensembl:lncRNA
CAAGCGUAGAAAACUGUAGCAGAAGAUACACGCUUUUUUUCAGACACAAUGUCUUUGGCGUCUUACAUUAUGGACAUUGCAGUUUAUUGCUCUGGCCACAUCUGCAGUCCUGAUGCCUCCCUGCAGCAGACCCAUGGCAUGUUCAUGCAGGGUCAAGGGGAAAUCUGGAGCCUCUCCCAGGGAGCAUCGGGCUUUGGACUGGGGGAGGAAACCCCCGCAGCAUGGGGAGAACAUGCAAACUCUGCACACAGAGGCCACGGUGGGAAUCAAACCCACGACUCUGGCAGUAUAAGGCAAACAUGCUAACCACUAAGCCACUGUGCACCCGCCUGCGUUAUUCUAUCCUGUAUUAACCAUCUUUCUGUAAUAAACCUUUUUUUUUUUUUUUUUACCUUCAGAGGACGAGUCUGUGAGUGUUGUCUAAUUUCCACAACACAGCGU